UUAGACUUUUUUCAUUAUUUACUAAUACCAAUAACAUAUGCUAUUGCAUACAUUAAAAAGUACAUUAUACAAAUAGCACUGAUAUACAAAUAGCAAUCUGAUGAAAUUAUUCCUCAUAGAAUUUUUCUUCUUUUCAAGAUAAUGCAUAUGGUAAAACAUUACGGCAACACCACGGCUGGGUAGUUCGAGGAGUUUUUGCAUUAGCUCUGAGGGCAGCUCCAUCCUAUGAAGAUUUUGUGGCCGCAUUAACCAUAAAGGAAGGCGACCACCAGAAAGAAGCUUUCAGUAUUGGGAUGCAGAGAGACCUCAGCCUUUACCUCCCUGCCAUGGAAAAGCAGCUUGCAAUACUGGACACUUUAUACGAGGUCCACGGGCUGGAGUCUGACGAGGUGGUAUGACAGCUGCAGGACAGCACCUCCUAACUUCAGGGAAUAAAGUUUGCUAAAGCGUUUUGUUGCCCUAUUUAAUUUCUAGCAACAGCUUCAACCAUCUCCAGCUCCUUUAUGUGGGGGGAUGGAGAGGAGGAGGCAAAACCCAGUGCUUUUAUAUAUAAUUUUUUAAAUGUGAAUGAGUUUUGUGUGUUUAAAAAUCAAGGUGCUAUAUAUUUCAGUUCAAAGGGCCUACUGGAAACCAAAUCAUAGCUGUUACAGUCUUGAACAGCAAGUAAUAAGAGCCAAUUUGACAAAUGAA